ACUAGAGUUGGUUGGCUACUGUGAGAAGAAGGAAGGGUCGGUGCAUAGAGGAGAUGCCAAUAAGAAACAUCAAGGAGGAUAUCAAAAAAAGACAUUGUGAUCAUAGGUGCAGAUUUGCUGGUGGAAACCAGAUACAAGGGGAAACAAAGGUCCCACCGUAAAGGACUAAGUAGAGAAGACCCCAGAUCCUCAGAGAAGCAGCUGGGAAGCCGGGCAAUCCCCACAGUGGGGAUAACCACACCACUCAUCCCAGGCAGGUGUUCCUGGCACAAACCAUCCCACUGCUACAAUGGGCAGUUUUCUCUCUGCUUGGUUGGAUCUGUCACUGUCUCCAGCAGGAAACAUAGCUGUAACUCAGGAAGGGUUUAAAUUAUCUUCUUGUUCACUGGAAAUAGAAGAAACCUCAAGCUGACAUGUUUCUGAAGAAGAAUUCCAAGGGAUGCAUACUUCAUACCAGAGAACCACAGAAACCAGAAAGAAAAAAAAAAAAAAAAAGAAAAAUUCCUAACUAAUUCUAAAGUCUUCACUGUCCCAAAUUAAAGGGAAGCAGAAAAUUAUUAGCUUUGUUAUCUAUUUACUAGCACUAUUUACUGUCACUCGUGUUUUAAAACUGUGGUAUCAAACACACUGGGGCACCUUGCUGUCAUGCUAAUGAGCUGCCUUGUCACAUCUAUCAUAUAGCUUAUACUUCAAGAAAGAAAAAAAAUCAGACACAUGGUUUGUAAAUAUAUGCACAAGCUACUGCAGGACCUCAAGGAAAUGUACACUGUGGAUGAUUAUAGAGACAUGACUGUUUACCACCUGAACUGUCUCCUCUGGGUUUUAACAGUGGAAUUACAUCUCAAAAGCUGUCUUCUCUACAUGAGUAACUACAAAACACUGUAACACUCUUCUUUUUCCUGCAUGUUAGCAUCACCAUUCUCCGAAAGCAGAGAAGGUUCUGCCUUCUCCCAGCUUUCCUGAAGGCAUUGUCCAGGGACAAACCUUGAGCCUGAACAGUUGUUGAGCUUAAUAAUCUGUUACUUCCAUAGCUUGGGAGCAAAUAUGACAAGUUCUACAGGAAGCCAUAAUGCACCAUACAUGUGCUGGCUGAACCCUACAGAGGUGAAGCCAAUGUCAGCAGUGUCACCUCCUUUGCAAACAGCUCAGUAACCUCUCAACAAACAAACAGCUGGGCCACCCCAUCUACCAGCACUGCCACCCAGCAGAAAUGGGUGACUGGUUCUUCCAGUUUCUGGCAAACCAGAAAUAUGUUGCAGAUACAUGAAAAGGUGAGGGUAAGGAGCUGCCUUCCCACCUAGGAUCAAUAGGAAUCUUGAGCCUGGAUACACAUCCCCACCCACACAGACAAACAGCAGCUCCAGCUGGUAAGAGAGCACAUCACCUGCUGAAACCAUUUGGGCUGUUGUACUGCGGCUGCCCAGGAGAAAGGCACGUACUGCUCUACUCCCUGUGCUGGGAAAAGGAGUGAAGAGGAGGAGGGUGCUAGGAAUCCCUUCUUGGAAGUGUGGGAGAUGUUAUGGACCUGGAAAAGAGCAAGGCGCAAAGCUUUCCUGUGGCCUGAGCAACAACUGAAGUAUAACUUCUUGAAUAAUCCUGAUACAAGAUCUCAUUUUCAAAUGUUGAUGGGUGACUCUCCUGCUGAUCUUCACUUUUUAGAAGUCUGCUGUGGAUUUUGUUGGACAUGGAUAUUGCAAAAAGUUGCUCAGGUAAAGAACUGGAAGGUGAAGAAAAUGCCAUGUAUGGAGCAGAUUUAACUGGACUGGAAAUUCACUUGAGAUAACUGUUAAUAUUGCAAACCUUAUGAAAUUAUUAUAAGUUGUAGCACUCAAUAAAUAUAGGCAACUAAAGCUUCAACUCCUUUUCUACUCUAAAAUACCUUGCUUCCAAUAUAACAGUAUCAUUUCUUCAUUAUUGAAUGACCCCAAAUAAUAGUGUUUCAUAUACAAAAUAUAUAGGUACUGGUCUAAGUACCUAUAAGACUCAGCUUCUUCUAAGCCUAUGACCAUUGAAAAUGUCAAAGUAUCUCCUAUUAGCAUCCUUCCUAUUUCAGGCUUUCAACA